rnacentral:rRNA from 1 species
AGCCCAGAGCCUGAAUCAGUGUGUGUGUUAGUGGAAGCGUCUGGAAAGGCGCGCGAUACAGGGUGACAGCCCCGUACACAAAAAUGCACAUACUGUGAGCUCGAUGAGUAGGGCGGGACACGUGGUAUCCUGUCUGAAUAUGGGGGGACCAUCCUCCAAGGCUAAAUACUCCUGACUGACCGAUAGUGAACCAGUACCGUGAGGGAAAGGCGAAAAGAACCCCGGCGAGGGGAGUGAAAAAGAACCUGAAACCGUGUACGUACAAGCAGUGGGAGCCUCUUAAUGGGGUGACUGCGUACCUUUUGUAUAAUGGGUCAGCGACUUAUAUUCUGUAGCAAGGUUAACCGAAUAGGGGAGCCGAAGGGAAACCGAGUCUUAACUGGGCGUUAAGUUGCAGGGUAUAGACCCGAAACCCGGUGAUCUAGCCAUGGGCAGGUUGAAGGUUGGGUAACACUAACUGGAGGACCGAACCGACUAAUGUUGAAAAAUUAGCGGAUGACUUGUGGCUGGGGGUGAAAGGCCAAUCAAACCGGGAGAUAGCUGGUUCUCCCCGAAAGCUAUUUAGGUAGCGCCUCGUGAAUUCAUCUCCGGGGGUAGAGCACUGUUUCGGCAAGGGGGUCAUCCCGACUUACCAACCCGAUGCAAACUGCGAAUACCGGAGAAUGUUAUCACGGGAGACACACGGCGGGUGCUAACGUCCGUCGUGAAGAGGGAAACAACCCAUACCGCCAGCUAAGGUCCCAAAGUCAUGGUUAAGUGGGAAACGAUGUGGGAAGGCCCAGACAGCCAGGAUGUUGGCUUAGAAGCAGCCAUCAUUUAAAGAAAGCGUAAUAGCUCACUGGUCGAGUCGGCCUGCGCGGAAGAUGUAACGGGGCUAAACCAUGCACCGAAGCUGCGGCAGCGACGCUUAUGCGUUGUUGGGUAGGGGAGCGUUCUGUAAGCCUGCGAAGGUGUACUGUGAGGUAUGCU